rnacentral:lncRNA from 1 species
UGAUAUGGUUUGGAUCUCUGUCUCCACCCAGAUCUCAUGUUGAAUUGUAAUCCCCAGUGUUGGAGGUGGGGCCUGGUGGGAGGUGAUUGGAUCACGGGAGUGGAUUUCCACCUUUGUACUGUCAUGGCAAUAAUGAUUGAGUUCUCGUGAGAUCUGGUCAUUUAAAAGUGUGUGGCAUCUCCCCCAUCUCUCUCUUGCUCCUACUAUGGCCAUGUGAGCUGAUCUGUGUGCUUCCCCUUCACUUGAGGGGUUUCAAGUUUCCUGAGGCCUCCCCAGAAGCCACCCAGAUGGAGUUUAAGGAAAAGAAAACAGGAAGGACAAGUUGGAGUCAGAUUAUACAGGGCUUAGGGAACCACUGAAAAUUUUAUACAGAUGACAUGAAUGUUUUUGUGUCUUAGAAAGAUCAGUCUAGUUCAGGGGUUGGCAAAUCUGGCCCACCACCUGUUUUUGUAAACAAAGUUUUAUUAAAACACAAUCACAGUCUUUCAGUUACUUAAUAUUUGUGGGUGCUUUUGCACUUAAACAAAGUAAAUAUCCAACAAUAGGG